CAUGCAAGUCGAACGCUUUUUCUUUCACCGGAGCUUGCUCCACCGAAAGAAAAAGAGUGGCGAACGGGUGAGUAACACGUGGAUAACCUACCCUCAAGCGGGGGAUAACACUUGGAAACAGGUGCUAAUACCGCAUAACAAAGAAAACCGCAUGGUUUUCUUUUGAAAGGCGCUUUUGCGUCACUUGAGGAUGGAUCCGCGGUGCAUUAGCUAGUUGGUGAGGUAACGGCUCACCAAGGCAACGAUGCAUAGCCGACCUGAGAGGGUGAUCGGCCACAUUGGGACUGAGACACGGCCCAAACUCCUACGGGAGGCAGCAGUAGGGAAUCUUCGGCAAUGGACGAAAGUCUGACCGAGCAACGCCGCGUGAGUGAAGAAGGUUUUCGGAUCGUAAAACUCUGUUGUUAGAGAAGAACAAGGAUGAGAGUAAAAAGUUCAUCCCUUGACGGUAUCUAACCAGAAAGCCACGGCUAACUACGUGCCAGCA
rnacentral:rRNA from 1 species